GGCGCGAAUUUGUAGUAGGGUAGAUUGGUAGGAUCAGCUCACCAUACUAAUGUACUCUACUUCAAGUUUGCGCUC
rnacentral:pre_miRNA from 1 species